GGAGUCCAGCGUGUGCGCGAGUCAUUGGGUACUAUCGAAACCUAAAGGCGAAAUGAAAGUAAAGGCGUGCUCAGCGCGCGCCUAGGGAGGAUGGGUGAGUUCACGCUCGCCUCGCACUCCCGGGGCGUCUCUUUCUCAUUGCGAGAAAAGGCGCACCUAGAGCGUACACGCUGGGACCCGAAAGAUGGUGAACUAUGCCUGGUCAGGACGAAGUCAGGGGAAACCCUGAUGGAGGUCCGUAGCGAUUCUGACGUGCAAAUCGAUCGUCGGAACUGGGUAUAGGGGCGAAAGACUAAUCGAACCAUCUAGUAGCUGGUUCCCUCCGAAGUUUCCCUCAGGAUAGCUGGCGCUCGCAAUAGCGAGUUUCAUCCGGUAAAGCGAAUGAUUAGAGGCAUUGGGGACGAAACGUCCUCAACCUAUUCUCAAACUUUAAAUGGGUGAGAUCUCCGGCUUUCUUAAAUUUAUUUAUGAAGCCGCGAGAUCGAAUCUAGAGUGCCAAGUGGGCCAUUUUUGGUAAGCAGAACUGGCGUUGUGGGAUGAACCAAACGCAGAGUUAAAGCGCCUAAAUAGACGCUUAUGAGAUACCAUGAAAGGCGUUGGUAACUUAAGACAGCAGGACGGUGGCCAUGGAA
rnacentral:rRNA from 1 species